rnacentral:rRNA from 1 species
AACGAACGCUGGCGGCAUGCCUAAUACAUGCAAGUCGAACGAACACUUCGGUGUUAGUGGCGCACGGGUGCGUAACGCGUGGGAAUCUACCCUUGGGUUCGGAAUAACUUCGGGAAACUGAAGCUAAUACCGGAUGAUGACGUAAGUCCAAAGAUUUAUCGCCCAGGGAUGGGCCCGCGUAGGAUUAGCUAGUUGGUGGGGUAAAGGCUCACCAAGGCUACGAUCCUUAGCUGGUCUGAGAGGAUGAUCAGCCACACUGGGACUGAGACACGGCCCAGACUCCUACGGGAGGCAGCAGUAGGGAAUAUUGGACAAUGGGCGAAAGCCUGAUCCAGCAAUGCCGCGUGAGCGAUGAAGGCCUUAGGGUUGUAAAGCUCUUUUACCCGAGAUGAUAAUGACAGUAUCGGGAGAAUAAGCCCCGGCUAACUCCGUGCCAGCAGCCGCCGCCG